UGGAGAGGUUCACCCACUGGAGGGGUCUGGCUGCUGGAGUCCGUGUGUCGAAGGAGUCCGUCCAGAAUCUAUCCGCUACAGAAGUUCGAUCGGAGUCCGGUUCCCGUAGAAGUCCGGAUGGGGAUCAUUUGUAGAGGAAACUCGGUCGAAGCCUACCUGCAAUAGAAGUUCGGAGGGAAUUCAUUCAUAAUAGAAGCUCAGGUGGAGGCUUACAGUAGAAAUCUGACGUGGGCCGCUCGUAGUAGAGAUUCGAAGUAGACCGCUUGUUGUGGUAGCUCAGAGUAGACCGCUUGUAG
rnacentral:lncRNA from 1 species